GGUGCGGUGGCCAAGUGGUAAGGCGUCAGUCUGCAAAACUGAUAUUCGUGGGUUCGAUUCCCGCCCGCACCU
rnacentral:tRNA from 2 species